UACGUAGGUGGCAAGCGUUGUCCGGAAUUAUUGGGCGUAAAGGGCGCGUAGGCGGAUAAUUAAGUCAGAUGUGAAAUAUGCGGGCUUAACCCGGAUCUGCAUCUGAAACUGGCUAUCUUGAGUGCAGGAGAGGACAGUGGAAUUCCUAGUGUAGCGGUGAAAUGCGUAGAUAUUAGGAGGAACACCAGUGGCGAAGGCGGCUGUCUGGACUGUAACUGACGCUGAGGCGCGAAAGCGUGGGGAGCAAACAGGAUUA
rnacentral:rRNA from 1 species